rnacentral:rRNA from 1 species
UACGUAGGGUGCGAGCGUUGUCCGGAAUUAUUGGGCGUAAAGGGCUCGUAGGCGGUUUGUCGCGUCGGGAGUGAAAUCCACUGGCUUUGAACUGGUGGCCUUGCUUUCGAUACGGGCAGGACUGGAGGUAUGCAGGGGGAGAACGGAAGUUCCUGGGUGUAGCGGUGAAAUGCGCAGAUAUCGGGAAGGAACACCAAUUGCGAAGGCAGCUCGCUGGG